ACAGGAAGCAGCUUGCUGCUUCGCUGACGAGUGGCGGACGGGUGAGUAAUGUCUGGGAAGCUGCCUGAUGGAGGGGGAUAACUACUGGAAACGGUAGCUAAUACCGCAUAAUGUCGCAAGACCAAAGAGGGGGACCUUCGGGCCUCUUGCCAUCGGAUGUGCCCAGAUGGGAUUAGCUUGUUGGUGGGGUAACGGCUCACCAAGGCGACGAUCCCUAGCUGGUCUGAGAGGAUGACCAGCCACACUGGAACUGAGACACGGUCCAGACUCCUACGGGAGGCAGCAGUGGGGAAUAUUGCACAAUGGGCGCAAGCCUGAUGCAGCCAUGCCGCGUGUAUGAAGAAGGCCUUCGGGUUGUAAAGUACUUUCAGCGGGGAGGAAGGGAGUAAAGUUAAUACCUUUGCUCAUUGACGUUACCCGCAGAAGAAGCACCGGCUAACUCCGUGCCAGCAGCCGCGGUAAUACGGAGGGUGCAAGCGUUAAUCGGAAUUACUGGGCGUAAAGCGCACGCAGGCGGUUUGUUAAGUCAGAUGUGAAAUCCCCGGGCUCAACCUGGGAACUGCAUCUGAUACUGGCAAGCUUGAGUCUCGUAGAGGGGGGUAGAAUUCCAGGUGUAGCGGUGAAAUGCGUAGAGAUCUGGAGGAAUACCGGUGGCGAAGGCGGCCCCCUGGACGAAGACUGACGCUCAGGUGCGAAAGCGUGGGGAGCAAACAGG
rnacentral:rRNA from 1 species